UUCAGAGGAAACGGGAUUUGAGUUUGGACAAGCGUAAAAAGCAAAUAAGAGCUAUUCCCUACUCUGGAGUAUGAUGUGUUGUAGCGCCAGUGACGGGGUGGCGACCACGUUCUGUUCACCGAGUCCCAUAAUGGGGCCGGAUAUGGCAUAUGUUUUGACAUGCAUUAUCUAUGUUAUAUGAGUACACCCAGAUGAUGUGGAGUUAUUAUAGAGGAUGUUCCGGCAGAGUUGGCAAGCUCCAUUUGUUCCUGGGGUGCCACCGAGUCAGAGUUUGUAUGUGUGCUUCUUCUGGAUUGAUGUUAGAGACUUUGCAGACAGAGUCGUGGGUAUAGUAUGUCAGUUGUGUAAGCGGCUUCGUCAGCCGAUAUGCCAUCCUGUCUUAUGCAUUAAAUUCUAUAUGAUCACAGAUUCUGUUUGAUUUGGAAAAUAUCGAAAAGAAUAUUUU